rnacentral:rRNA from 1 species
GAGUUUGAUCGUGGCUCAGAUUGAACGCUGGCGGCAGGCCUAACACAUGCAAGUCGGGCGGUAGAGAGAAGCUUGCUUCUCUUGAGAGCGGCGGACGGGUGAGUAAUGCCUAGGAAUCUGCCUGGUAGUGGGGGAUAACGCUCGGAAACGGACGCUAAUACCGCAUACGUCCUACGGGAGAAAGCAGGGGACCUUCGGGCCUUGCGCUAUCAGAUGAGCCUAGGUCGGAUUAGCUAGUUGGUGAGGUAAUGGCUCACCAAGGCGACGAUCCGUAACUGGUCUGAGAGGAUGAUCAGUCACACUGGAACUGAGACACGGUCCAGACUCCUACGGGAGGCAGCAGUGGGGAAUAUUGGACAAUGGGCGAAAGCCUGAUCCAGCCAUGCCGCGUGUGUGAAGAAGGUCUUCGGAUUGUAAAGCACUUUAAGUUGGGAGGAAGGGCAGUAAAUUAAUACUUUAGCUGUUUUGACGUUACCGACAGAAUAAGCACCGGCUAACUCUGUGCCAGCCG